CAGAGAAGGCACUCUUUAGAGUUAAUAUGUGUUAGAAUAAGAGAAAUUCUCUUUGUUGGUGCUGCUGUUUACUCAUUAAGUUGUGUCCAGCUCUUGCAACCCCAUGGACUGUAGACAGAGGCUAGGCACCUCUGUCUAUGGAAUUCUCCAGGCAAGAAUACAGGAAUUGCCAUUUCCUUCUCCAGGGAAUCUUCUCAACCGCUUCCCAGGGAUCGAGCCUGCAACUCCUACAUUAACAGGUGGAUUCUUUACCACUGAGCCACCAGGGAAGCCCCCAAAAUUCUCUUAAGAAAUAUUAUUUGGCCAAUCAAAACCAUCCUACAAUCCUAACUAAAACCACUUUCAUCCGCCUUCAUACAUGCUAUGAUAUCUAACACAGGAUCAUAAAAUAGAUCUGAAGGCAAUAUAAUUAACUGAAAAAUUCCAUCAAUGUAUUAAAAAAAGUCAUCUUGUUUUAACUGUAAUAUGGACAAAGAAAGAUCUAUAUAUCAACAUAACUGUUGGCAGAUUGAUCUUCACCAAAUCUGGCAAAUUACUAAUGUGUGGCAAGAUACAGUUCAAACUGUAACCACCUAACAAAGUUUUCAACUGGGCAUAUCUUCCAUUGACAAUAUUUUAUUUAUUUUAACCCAUUUUGGUAUGUGAACAGAAAGUACAGAAAGGUAAACUGUAGUUCAGUUCAGUUCAGUCGGUCAGUCGUUUCCGACUCUUUGUGACCCCACGGCCUACAGCACGCCAAGCUUCCCUGUCCAUCACCAACUCCUGGAGCUUGCUCAAACUCAUGUCCACUGAGUCAGUGAUGCCAUCCAACCAUCUCAUCCUCUGUCGUCCCCUUCUCCUCCUGCCUUUCAUCUUUCCCAGCAUCAGGGUCUUUUCCAAUAAGUCAGUACUUCACCAUCGAGUGGCCAAAGUACUGGAGUUUCAGCUUCAGCAUCAGUCCUUCCAAUGAAUAUUCAGGACUGAUUUCCUUUAGGAUGGACUGGUUGGAUCUCCUUGCAGUCCAAGUGACUCUCAAGGGCCUUCUCCAACACCACAAUUCAAAAGCAUCAGUUCUUCAGAACUCAGCUUUGUUUAUGAUCCAACUCAUACAUCCAUACAUGACUACUAGUAAAACCAUAGCUUUGACUGGAUGGACCAUUGUUGGCAAAGCAAUGUCUCUGCUUUAUAACAUGCUAUCUAAGUUUCUCAUAGAUUUUCUACCAAGGAACAAGCAUCUUUUAAAAUUUCAUGGCUGCAGUCCCCAUCUGCAGUGAUUUUGGACCCAAGAAAACAAAGUCACUGCAUCCAUUGUUUCUCCAUCUAUUUGCCAUGAAGCGAUGGGACCAGAUGCCAUGAUCUUAGUUUUUUGAAUGUGGAGUUUUAAGCCAACUUUCUCCCUCUCUUUCAUCAAGAGGCUCUUUAGUUCCUCUUUGCUUUCUGCCAUAAGGAUGGUGUCAUCUACAUAUAUGAGGUUAUUGAUAUUUCUCCCAGCAAUCUUGAUUCCAGAUUGUUGCUUCAUCUAGCCCAGCAUUUCACAUGAUGUACUCUGCAUAUAAGUUUUAAAUAAACAGCGGACAAUAUACAGCCUUGAUAUACUUCCUUCCCAAUUCGCAACCAGUCCAUUGUUCCAUGUCUGGUUCUAACCGAUGCUUCUUGACCUGCAUACACAUUUCCACAAGGUAGGUAAGGUGUUCUGGUAGUCCCAACUCUUUAAGAAUUUUCCGUAGUUUGUUGUAAUCUACACAGUGAAAGGCUUUGGCAUAGUCAAAUAAAGCAGAAGUAGAUGUUUUUCUGGAACUCUCUUGGUUUUUCGAUGAUCCAAUGGAUAUUGGCAAUUUGAUCUCUGGUUCCUCUGCCUUUUCUAAACCCAGUUUGAACAUCUGGAAGUUCAUAGUUCAUGUACUGUUGAAGCCUAGUUUGGAGAAUUUUGAGCAUUACUUUGCUAGUGUGUGAAAUGAGUGUCAUUGUGCAGUAGUCUGAACAUUCUUUGGCACUGCCCUUCUUUGGGAUUGGAAUGAAAACUGACCUUUUCCAGUCCUGCAGCCACUGCUGAGUUUUCCAAAUUUGCUGGCAUAUUGAAUGCAGCACUUUCAUAGCAUCAUCUUUUUUAGUAUUUGAAAUAGCUGAACUGGAAUUCCAUCACUUCCACUAUUUUUGUUCGUAGUGAUGCUUCCUAAGGCCCACUUGACUUCACACUCCAGGAUAUCCAGUUCUAGGUGAGUGAUCACACCAUCGUGGUUAUCAUUUCUGUGUAUUCCUGCCACCUCUUCUUAAAUCUCUUCUGCUUCUAUUAGGUCCAUACAAUUUCUGUCCUUUACUAUGCCCUUCUUUGCAAGAAAUGUUCCCUUGGGAUCUCUAAUUUUCUUGAAGAGAUCUCUAGUCUUUCCCAUUCUAUUAUCUUCCUCUAUUUCUUUGCAUUGAUCACUGAGGAAGGCUUUCUUAUCUCUCCAUGCUAUUCUUUGGAACUCUGCAUUCAGAUGGGUUGUCUUUCCUUUUCUCCUUUGCCUUUAGCUUUUCUUCUUUUCACAGCUAUUUGUAAGGCCUCCUCAGACAACCGUUUUGCCUUUUUGCAUUUCUUUUUCUUCGGGAAGGUCUUGAUCACUGCCUCCUACACAGUGUCACAAACCUCCAUCCUUAGUUCUUCAAGCACUCUGUCUAUCAAAUCUGAUCCCUUGAAUCUAUCUGUCACUUCCAUUGUAUAAAGGUAAGGGAUUUGAUUUAGGUCAUGCCUGAAUGGUCUAGUGGUUUUCCCUACUUUCUUCAAUUUAUGUAUUAAUUUUGCAAUAAGGAGCUCAUGAUCUCAGCCACAGUUAGCUCCUCAUCUUGUUUUUGCUGAUGGUACAAAGUUUCUCCCAUCUUUGGUUGCAAAGAAUAUAAUCAAUCUGAUUUCAGUAUUGACAUCUGGUGACGUCCAUGUGUAGAGUCGUCUCUUGUAAUGUUGGUAAAGAGUGUUUUCCUAUGACCAGUGUGUUCUCUUGGCAAAACUCUGUUAGCCUUUGCCUUGUUUCAUUUUGUACUUCAGGGCUAAACCUGCCUGUUACUCCAGGUAUCUCUUGACUUCCUACUUUUGCAUUCCAGUCCCCUAUAAUGAAAAGAACAUCUUUUUUGGGUGUUAGUUCUAGAAGGUCUUGUAGGUCUUCAUAAACUGUUCAGCUUCUUUGGCAUUAGUGGCUGGGGCAUACACUUGGAUUACUGUGACAUUGAAUGGCUUGCCUUGGAAAUAAACAGAGAUCAUUCUGUCAUUUUUGAGACUGCAACCAAGUAGUGCAUUUCAGACUCUUGUUGACUAUGAGCGCUACUCCAUUAUUCUAAAGGAUUCUUGCCCACAGGAGUAGAUAUAAUGGUUAUCUGAAUUAAAUUUGCCCACUCCGGUCCAUUUUAAUUCACUGAUUGCUAAAAUGUAGAUGUUCACUCUUGCCAUCUCCGUUUGACCACUUCCCAAUUUUCAUGGACCUAACACUCCAGGUUCCUAUGCAACACUGUUCUUUACAGCAUCAGACUUUACUUCCAUCACCAGUCAUACCCACAAUGUUGUUUUUGCUUUGGCUCUACUUCUUCAUUCUUUCUGGAGUCAUUUCUCCACUCUUCUCCAAUAACUUACUGGGCACCUACUGACCCAGGGCUCUUCAUCUUUCAGUGUCAUAGCUUUUUGCCUUUUCAUACUGUUCACAGGGUUCUCAAGGCAAGAAUACUGAAGUGGUGUGCCAUUCCCUUCUCCAGUGGACCAUGUUUUGUCAGAAGUCUCCGCUAUGACCCAUCCGUCUUGGGUGGCGCUACAGAGCACGUCACAUAGUUUCACUGAAUUAGACAAGGCUGUGGUCCAUAAGAUCAGUUUGGUUAGUUUUCUAUGAUUUUGAUUUUCAUUGUCUGCCCUCUGAUAGAUAAGGAUAAGAGGCUUAUGGAAGCUUCCUGAUGAGAGAGACUGACUUCAGGGGAAACUGGGUCUUGUUCUGAUGCCUGGGGCCAUACUCAGUAAAUAUUUAAUCCAAUUUUAUGUUGAUAGGCUGUGUCCUCUCUCCAAUUCAGGUUUAUUCUGUAAAGAACCACUGGCAAUAGGUAAGACACUUUAUCAUCUUCUAACAAUGAAGACAUAUAUAUGUGCCUUCACACACAUACACAUAUAUCACAUAGUCUUUAGAUCAAUUCUAAAUAUCUCCUUCUUUCCAGAUAUCCUCCAAAUCACAAGGACACAAAAGCUGUAUCAGGAAAUUCCCCAGAACGGCUGUAUUCCAAGCCAAGCCACCUAAGGUCAGCUUAAACUUGGACCAGUCUGGGUAAGGAAAAAAAGGAGCAUAUGGUUUACAAGCAAUUCCCUCUUGCCGACUGACUGUAGGUCUGAGUUCCAAGCAGCCUGCUUCCACACAGCCAGAUUUCCCCAAAUAAUUUAAACAUUUAUACUAUAAGGCAUUGAUCUAGACAUCACAGCAUUACCACAGUUAGGACUAUAGUAACAGUGUGCCAAAGCCAGGAAAAAAGAAUACUUGACCUUUUUUCAGAGAAAGGUAGUGAAAACAGAGAAGAUAGUCUGUUUUCAAUAGCUAACGAGCAUUAGAUUUUUCUAACAUUACUAAAUUACUUUCCUUAGUGAUUUUUGCUUGUUUUUACUAGCAUCACUUUGCACAAUGAGGAAGUCUCUUAAACUCUAGCUAUUCUAAUUAAGCUGGAUUUAACCAUUUAAAAAUAUGUUCACCUCUUGAUGACCUACGUCCUUUUAAAUUUGAAGUUCCUUCCGAUUUUACUCUCACUCAAACCUAUACCUCUUUUAAAACAUAGUGAAAGAUCCGUCUCCAUAAGGUCUAAUCUCUUUUUAACAACAGAUUUAUUUUUAAAGAGAGAUUUAUUUUCAUAUUCUUAAAUUUACACCAUACUUACCAUUAUAUUGAACUACUUUGUUUUCCCUAUGUUCCAAGAAAGUCAAAAGGCCUCAGAGGCCAUUCUUUAUUAUGAACCCCACAAACUAAGCCGAGAACAGUGCUGGACAUACGGAAGAACUUUUAAUGUAUAUGGCCCCAACUUUAGGUGACAUACAAGAAUUAGCUGGUGGCAGAGGGCAGGCAAAGUAUUAGAAAAACAUGACAAGUAAUUUUCUAAAACAUUUCAAGGGUCUGUGAGCAUAUGAAACCUGUGGUCUUGUUAUCUAGGUACAACUAGUCUCAAGAAAAAUGUUUAAAUUAAUUUAAAUGGUCAAGUAAAUAGUUAACUUUUAAUCUUUUAUGUUUAGAAAUGUUUUUAAAUGUAUUAAAAAAAUAAAAGGGUGAAAUAUGUGGAAAGAUUAUACAAAUUAAGGUUAGUAAAGUUCAUAUUUAAAUGAAAGAUUAUUUUACAUAGUUUAAAAAGAAACAACAGAUCCAAAAUGGAUCUGUUAUUUGUGUAAGCCCCACACCAGCCAACCAAGACUUAAUAUCUAACCUAAUUGCCGACUCAAGCCAUCCCAGAAACUUCAUCUUAAUCAAUCAGUCUGGAAUUUCCUGGGCAGCACUAGUGAGGUAAUCUGUCACAUAGACACCCCUGCCACCCCUUAAAGGAAAACAAUCUUGCUACAACCAAUCUGCCUUCUGCUAGUGUAACUUCCUUGUCCCUGCCCCCUCUGCCUUUAAAACUUGGAGCUCCCUUCUACUUGCUAGAUGGGAUGCUGCCUGAUUCAUGAAGUGCUUAAUAAGCCAACUAGAUCUUCAAAUUUACUCAGCUGAAUUUUGUUUUUUAAAAAUAAGAAAGAAAGUGAAAGAAAGUGAAGUCACUCAGUCGUGUCCGACUCUUUGCGACCCCAUGGACAGUUGCCUGCACCAGGCUCCUCCACCCAUGGGAUUUUCUAGGCAAGAGUACUGGAGCGGGUUGCCAUUUCCUUCUCCAGGGAAUCUUCCCAACCCAGGGAUCAAACCCAGGUCUCCCGCAUUGUAGACAGACGCUUUACCGUCUGAGCCACUAGGAAAGUAACAAUACUAUAUAACAAGUUCUAGGCAACAUUCAGAAAACAGUCAUCUUUAGCAGUUUAAAUUAAGAGUAGUUCACUUUUUUAUUAACUCAUCAAAUUCAGAAGUGAAAAUAUUUAAUACCUUUUCAAAAAUGAUUAAUAGAGACUAGUGGAAUAUACUUCCAGGUAUACAGCAAAAGAAUUUAAUGUAUACCAAUUAGCAGCUUUUCCAAAUAUAUCUAAAUGCUUAGUUUUUGUCAGAAGAAAAAUUAAAACUAUGUAAAUACUGGAAACAUUUAACUGUAAAAUCUGACAUAGAAAGUUCAAUUUUCUGACUCUGCGACCCCAUGGAUUGUAGCCCACCAGGCUUCUCCGUCCAUGGGUUCUCCAGGUGAGAAUACUGGAGUGGGUUGCCAUUUCCUUCUCCAGGGGAUCUUCCCGACCCAGGGAUCGAACCUGGGUCUCUCGCAUUGCAGGCAGAGGCUUUAACCUCUGAGCCACCAGGGAAGCCCUAUUUAAAACACUAGUAUAAACUAUAUUGUGAAAAUUCCUUCUUUCAUGAAGUAAAUAUUCAAACUGAUGUACACAUUUUAUAAAACAAAGUACCAUCCCAGCAUUUCUCUUUACAUUCAAUUAAGUAUCAACAGAACAGAGAUCAAAGAUUAUCAGUAGUAGAUUCCAACACUGCCCUUAAGACUGGGGACCUUAGGGACCUUGUGAUGUGGUUAUGGUCUUCCUUACCCUACUGCCCCACAAGCAGCACUGUACUUCUAACAAAGCAAGCACUGCCUUAACGGUGCAUCCCCAGCCUGGCAGGCAGCUCAGUCGCCUGUCUGGUCUAAACAGGUAAAAGGCAAGGCAGAUGAUCAGAGCAAGAUUUUAGGCCCUUGAUGUAUUCAGAGAUUCUGGAUAAUCCAAAGUAAAAUUCACAAACCAUAGUUGAUAACUUUGUUAAAGAUUCUCUUAAGAAAUGAAAAAAGAAUCACAUAAAGGGAAAUAACUAAAUAAGCUCUAAAAUACUUCACUUUUCCAACAAUACAUAAAGUCUACACUUAAUUCUUUUAGAGCAUAACUUAUAUGAGGAAAACAUGGAAAGAGUUCAGCUAAGUAAAUUCACUGUAUGACCAAAUGUCAUGUAUCCUUCAGAAUCUACUACAUAAACACCUACCAAAAUUACAAAAGAAAUCUGGGAUCUAUUUCUAAUACCAACCCAGCAUCUAAAGUCAAAAACCCAGGAGUCAUCUUUGAUUCCCUUUUCCUUCAAAUCUCAUAUCUAAUCUAUCAACAACUCUGUCAACUUUACAACCGAAUAGAUCCUAAAUCCAACCAUUUCCCACAAUUUAAAGGAAAUGUGAGUCACUGCUCACUUUGAGUAUGAGCCACUAUUAUCUUUUCUCUGGUACUCCUACAACAGUCUCUUAACUAGUUUCCCUGCCUCCAUUUCUAGCCUUCUUCCCCCAUUUUUAUGGUUUUUAAGCAUAAAACCAGGUCAUAUCAGUCAGCUGCUUAAACUGUCCAGUGAUUUCCCACAGUAAUUAAAUAAAAUUUAAAAUUUACCUCCGGUGAUAAGACUGUAACCUGGAGUACCUAUUACACUGGGAAAACAUCUUGGCCCCUUAACUUUGCAAGUCUGUUCCCAGGCCUUGCAGUUGCUGAGUUCCUUCUAUUUGGAAUGUUAUCUGCCUAGAUCUUCAUUAAGUUAUUCUCUUCUCAUCACUCAGGUCUUAGCUCAUUUUUAUUUCACAAAGAGGUCUAUCCUACUGUUUUAGCUAAAAUUACCCUAGCAGCCCCACCCCACGCUCACACUGACCCUUCAGAAACUAUUUUAUUUGCCUUUUAGUAUUUAGUACUUUAAAUUCUUUCUUCUAUCCAAUAGGUUUGAGACCAAGGACUUGGUCAAUCUUCUAUAUCACUUAAUACGCAGCCAACAGGUAUUACCUGGGUCAGUGUUUGGAAUAUACUUCGAGCUGACAGACAUGAUGACCGACUUGGAAGGCAUGUGAAGAAAGACAGCAAAUCUUCCAAUCUGAAUCCUUAAAUGACUGUGUGAAGCAGAGUAAACACUUAAUCUAAUAAUAUGGUAAAGUACUCUCAAUUUUGCAUCAAGGUCCAGAACGACACUUGACAGAAGACAACUCAAGCAUCUGAGGCCUGGGAAUCACAAUUGGAAAACCAGUGGAAGCCCUUCCAUCAACCCCAGAACCUCCCUGUGCUACUGGGGCAUUCUAGGACCACAAGAUAUUUAAGAGGGACCUCCUUAAUCCAAACCGCUCAUCCAAGUUUCAGUUAAACUUGGACUACUUCUACAAUUCAAAGCACAAUGAUUUGAUCAAAAAAGGUAAUUUAUCAAUCUCCUAAACAUUCCAUUUUGUUUUGGGUAGGGAGCAAAACAGCUUUCAAAAUCCUAUGGCAAGGUUCCGUCUCUGCACAUCUCUGCGCUGGCUCUAUCCUCAGACCCCAUACUGUCUCAAGGUGAUUGCUAUAGCAACAGCCCCUUCUUGCUCUCAGGUGCACACCUUACAGGUAAGAGACCUCACUCAAUACACGUGCAGCUGUUGCGGUCAAAGUUGCUCAAUCAUGUCCAACUCUUUGCAACCCCAUGGAUUCUCUAGGCCAGGAGACUGGAGAGGGUAGCCUUUCCUUUCUCCAGGAGAUCUUCCCAACCCAGGGAUCAAACCCAGGUCUUCCACAUUGCAGGUAGAUUCUUUACCAGCUGAGCCACAAGGGAAGCCCAAGAAUACUGGAGUGAGUAGCUUAUCCCUUCUCCAGUGGAUCUUCCCAACCCAGGAGUCAAACCAGGGUCUCCUGCAUUGCAGGCUGAUUCUUGACAACAUGGAACCUUAGGAAAAGUCUCAAAUCCCUGGACAGAAAGACUAUAAGGCUCCAACAAAAAAAAAAAAAAGACUGUAAGGCUCUAACUAGCCAAACCUGAGUAACACUUUAUCUAGGGAGCCAGAAGUGAAGUCAGCUCCAUAGGUUCAUGGACAAAGCAGAGAUAAAAGCUGGAACCUCAAAAACAAACAAAAAAGCUCAAGGCUAUUAGGAAGUAAAGUAAGUAGGAAGCAGGGUAAAUUGGUAGGAGAUGCCAAAAUAUGUCCAAUACAAUAACUACCUACUCCAAAGAAAGGCCAAUAUCAAGCUAUAUUCAUGAAAGUUGAGAGCUUAUCAAGCUAUAAUAAAUCUAGAAAAUAAUGUACAAAUCGAAUUCACUUUCAGGAAACUCAUGUAAAGCCAGAGACAAAUAACAAAAAAACUUUGUGAAGUACAAAAUUCAUUCAAUUCCUGUUACCCCAAGUAUCUAUAAAAAUAGACAAAUCUUAUGAGUAUUUAACAGUUGUUAGAAAAUCCCAUUAUACACUAAAAUGACCUAAAAUCCCCAAAGCAGAAAUUUGGUAACUGAAAACCCCAGAGUGAAAUGAACUUAAACCUUAUGAACAAGCCCAGUGAUGGAAGAUGAGUCAGUAAACAAUUAUUACAUUCAGUAAAAUAAAACAUUAAAAUCACAGCAUUAAAAAAAGAGGAUACUGGAAUUUCCUAGUGGUAAGUUCCUGCCAGGUGGAUAAGAAUUCACCUACCAAUACAGGGGACAUGGGUUCAAUCCCUGGUCUGAGAUGAUUUCACAAGGCACAGUGCAACUAAGCCUGUACACCACAACCACUGAAGCCCACGUGCCUAGAACCUGUGCUAUGCAAUAAGAGACGACACUGCAAUGAGAAGCCCGCACACCACAACAGAGCCCUCUCACUACAACUAGAAAAAGCCUGCACGCAGCAAAGACUCAGCACAACCAAAACAUUAAAAAAAAAAAAAGAUAUCAAUGCAACUUGCCACAUUUUAUAUUAAAAAUGGUCAAUAACUCCAUUAUCUUUAUGACUCAGUAUGUUUGGCUGCCAGUUCCUACCUGUCCUAGAGAUAUAGGUUACUAAUUUAAAUGGGGGAAAAAAAGAAAAAGGACAAAACCAGUGCAUAACCUUUACAUUGCUUACCAAAACAGGUUAUUUCUUAAUCUUCUUAUGUUACACUCUAGUGUGUAUCUUUGCAUUUCACAUAAAGCCAAUGAACUGACCUCUGUAUAACUUAGCUAUCUACUCUCCAAGUAAGCUCCUAAGUUCUGAAAGUGGUACUUUUCUUAGUUUCUUUCCUUUUUAUGAUAUUCUAAAUUUGGGCACAUUUUAUGUUAAGUAGGUUCUUGGCAAACCUCCUCCUGGUGACUGGUUUACAGAUGUGCAGGCACAAGCACAUCUUCAAAGAGCCAUGGGAAACCAGGAUGCCUCUCUAGAUAUGAACAACUGCCUCUCCAAGUCACACUACAGUGAGAAUGAAAUAGUAUGGAUAGCGUUAACUAGGGUCUUUGAUGACAUCCUGAAGCCACUAAAUCAACUUACCUUAAACCCUGCUCAACCUCUGGACCUCUUCUUACGAAAGUUAAAAGAUUCCCACACUGUUUAAACCAUUUCAACUGGACUUUCUGUUACUCGGCUGAAAUCACUCUAACACAAGUGAGAUGGCUAAUUCUACGUGUAAACUCAGCUACACUAUAGUACCCAGAUGCUUGCUCAUAAACCAGUCUAGAUGUUGUUGUGUACAGGUAUUUUAGAUUUAAUUAACUUUUAUAUCAGUAGACUUUGAGGAGAGACUUCAUAUGAAGUCUUAAGAGAACAGACUGAGGUCCCUUAAAGAAGAAAGAAUUCUGUUCCAGACUGCCUCUGAACUCAAGACUGCAACAACUCCUGCCAGAAUUUCCAGCUUGCCAGAAGGCCUUACAAAAUGACAGACCUGCUGGCCUCUACAAUCAUGUGACCCAGUUCCUUAAAAUCAAUCUUUCUCUCUCUCUCUCUCUAUAUAUAUAUGUACUAAAGAUUUUAUUUCUUGAAGCAAUAAGCUCAACAGUUUUCCUUACAUUUAUUACAUUUAAAGAACAAAGUUGUUUUAAUAGAUUUGAUAUUAUUAGUUAACAACAAUUAACUGCAUAUAUUCAGAAGGCAAAAUUAAAGUAGUUUUCACAUAGGUAUUAUACACUUGUGAGAUUACGGCUACAAUUAAGAUAAUGAAUAUUAUCUAUCACCCCCACAGGUUUCCCAGUACUCCCAGAAUACAUUUUUAAAAGAAAAAUUGGAUUCAACUUAAUACCUUCCUUUGUGAACUUUCUCCAGUUCAUAAUAUAGAGGGUAAACAAUUUUUCUCACUAUCAUUUAAUUUUUACAUAAUUUUAAGAGCUAUAUAGUAUUCCACAGUAAUAAUAUGCCCUAGUUCUGUUUAAGAAUCCUUCCUUGUCAACUCCUGCAGCUCAAUUCCAGAAAAAUAAAUGACCCAAUCAAAAAAUGGGCCAAAGAACUAAACAGACAUUUCUCCAAAGAAGACAUACAGAUGGCUAACAAGCACAUGAAAAGAUGCUCAACAUUUCUCAUUAUUAGAGAAAUGCAAAAUCAAAACCACAAUGAGGUACCAUUACACACCAGUCAGGAUGGCUGCUAUCCAAAAGUCUACAAGCAAUAAAUGCUGGAGAGGGUGUGGAGAAAAGGGAACCCUCUUACACUGUUGGUGGGAAUGCAAACUAGUACAGCCACUAUGGACAACAGUGUGGAGAUUUCUUAAAAAACUGGAAAUAGAACUGCCAUAUGACCCAGCAAUCCCACUUCUGGGCAUACACACCGAGGAAACCAGAUCUGAAAGAGACACGUGUACCCCAAUGUUCAUCGCAGCACUGUUUAUAAUAGCCAGGACAUGGAAGCAACCUAGAUGCCCAUCAGCAGAUGAAUGGAUAAGGAAGCUGUGGUACAUAUACACCAUGGAAUAUUACUCAGCCAUUAAAAAGAAUUCAUUUAAAUCAGUUCUAAUGAGAUGGAUGAAACUGCAGCCCAUUAUACAGAGUGAAGUAAGCCAGAAAGAUAAAGACCAAUACAGUAUACUAACACAUAUAUAUGGGAUUUAGAAAGAUGGUAACCCUAUAUGCAAAACAGAAAAAGAGACACAGAAGUACAGAACAGACUUUUGGACUCUGUGGGAGAAGGCGAGGGUGGGAUGUUUUGAGAGAACAGCAUCGAAACAUGUAUAUUAUCUAGGGUGAAACAGAUCAUCAGCCCAGGUUGGAUGCAUGAGACAAGUCCUCGGGCCUGGUGCACUGGGAAGACCCAGAGGGAGCGGGUAGAGAGGGAGAUGGGAGAGGGGAUCGGGAUGGGGAAUACAUGUAAAACCAUGGCUGAUUCAUGUCAAUGUAUGACAAAACCCACUACAAUAUUGUAAAGUAAUUAGCCUCCAACUAAUAAAAAUAAAUGAAAAAAAAAAAAAGAAUCCUUCCUUGUUAGAUAACUGUUUCUAACAUUUUGCUACUAUAAGCAAUGCCACAAAGAACAGUUUCACAGCUUAAUCUAUAUAAAGUCAUGAUUACUUCUUUAUAUGCUUCUUUUGAAAAAAGUUAAUUUAUUGGUGACGCUGGGUCUUCCUCACUGUGCACGGGCUUUCUCUAGUUGCACUGAGUGGGGUCUACUCUUCGUUGCGGUGCAUGGGCUUCUCGUUGUGGGGGCUUCUCUUGUUGCAGAGCACAGGCUCUAGGCACACGGACUUCAGUAGGUGCAGCACAUGGGCUAAAGUAGUUGUGGCUCAUAGGUGCUAGAAGUCUGGCUUAGUAGUUGUGGCACAGGGGCCUAGUUGUUCCGAGGCAUGUGGAAUCCUCGCAGACGAGGGACUGAACCUGGGGCCCCUGCAGGGGCAGGCAGAUUCCUAUCCACUGUACAACCAGGCAAGUCCCCUUAUAUGGUUCUAAAAAUAGAACAGCUGAUUUAUAGGACACAUUAUCUUUUAAGAAAUAAUUAUUAUAAUAUCAACAUCAAAUAUUUACACAUCAUUUAGUAUGUGUCACACACUCUACCACGCCCUUAACUAUGCUCUGAAAGUUAUACCAAUUUUCACUCUCAAGUAUUACAUAAACAUACUCAUCUAUGAUCCUAUCAAUAAGUUCUUUAAAAAUCUCUGCCCUUCCCCAAAUGAAGCUCAAUGUAAUUCCAGUCAAAUCUCCAUACUGGUAAGUUUUCACAUCUCAUCUCCACCCAAAUGCAUAAAAAUACAUAAGACCUUCUUGUAAGGGGGAAAGGAGAAGAAACCUUUAUUUACAGAAAUUAAAAGGUAAUAUAAGGUUGCAAUAAUUGAAGCAAUGUGGUAUGGUAGCAGAACAUGCAAAAGGGUCAAUAAAACAGGAGAGCCCAGAACAUAAGGGAACUUGAUUAAAGAUGGCAGAAGAGAAUAAAAUAAAACUGAUUUAAAUAUCUAAAAAUUUGAAACUAAAACAGAAGUUGAAAAAAACUUCAGAAAAACAUUCUCAUAAUUUUCUAGAAGGCUAGGCAUAAGACAAAUCACUCUCCCACAAAAAGCCCCAAACUGACAGAAUGACCAUAUAUAAAAUAUAAAUUAACAAAGAACAUAGAAAAAGUUAAAGGCAAGCAACAGAAUGGGAAAAAUUAACUAGGAUAUGUGAAACACAUGAAGCAUUAACAUCUAUAUUUUAAUAAAUCUCCCCAGAUGGUAAGAAAAUGUCAAAGGAACAAGCAAUUCACAGAAGAAAUGGCAAAAAACAUGAAAAACAUAUUUAACCUCACGAGUAACAAAAAAGUAUUAUUUCUCUUCUGAGUUGGACAAAAAAUGUAAAAUCAAUAAUGAACUGUGACUCAUUAAACAAGGCAAUCACACAAAAUUAUAAUGAAUAUGUAAAAUGGUAUAAGCUUAUAUGUUAAUUUGGCUGUAAUUAAACAUUAAAAAGCUGUAUCAUUUAACCUAACAAAUCCACUUUUAAGAAUGUAUCUACAGAAAGACUCAAGAAAUAUACAUAGAUUUACAUUUAAUGGUAUUUGAUAAAACAUUACUAAUAGAAGCUAAAAACCAAUAACCUCAAUGCCUAUUUACAGGGGAAAGUCUAAUAAAAUACAUCCAAAUUACAAAACUACAGAACAAAAAUGGCUGUAUGAUAUAGGAAAAAUGUCUAUUUCACAGAAUAUUGACUAUGUCAACUUAAUGAUUAAAUAAGGUGUACACUUUUUCACACACACAAAAAUGCCUGCAAAGAAACUAAAAUGAGGGAGCCACUUGGCAUCUCUUUGCUGUGCUGUGCUGUGCUAGCCACUCAAUCAUGUCCAACUCUGUAACUCCACGGACUGUAGCACACCAGACCCCUCUAUCCAUGGGAUUCUCCAAGUAAGAACACUGUAGUGGGUUGUCAUGCCCUCCACCAGGGCAUCUUCCCAACCAGGGGAUCAAACCCUGGUUUCCCACACAUUUCUGAUAGAUUCUUUACCGUCUGAGCCACCAGGAAAGCCUUUAUUGUUGGCCAAAUGUCAGAGCAUCUAUGUCCAUGUCUCUAUUCUACUCAUUUAUGUUCUUUUCUUCUACAUUUCCAGGGCUUUAAUUCACCAGAUAAGUUAUUUUUUUAUAAUUCUAUGAAGAAUUAUAAAAAUUUAAUUUUUAUAAUUAAAUUUACCAGUUUUUGACGGGUAAAAAAAAUAUCUUGUACUUAAAUUACGUUUCCUUUAUGUAUGUGUGUGCUCAGUGGCUCAGUCAUAUCUGACUCGUCGACCCCAUGGAGUGUUGUCUGCCAAGACUCUGUGUCCAUGGGAUUUUACAGGGCAAGAAUACUGAAGAGAGUUGCCAUUUCCUAUUCCAGGGGAUCUUCCCAACCCAGGGAUCAAGUCCACGUCUCCUGCUAAAUAUUUUUGCUAAUAUUGACUAGAAAUUAUUGGGGUUUUGGUCCUGGUUUAUGUUGUCUUUAGUAAACCUUUUCUGAGCUAUAAAGGAAAACUAUGCCUAUAUGUUAAAAAGAACACUGAUGCCACAGAUAUUUCUUUUAAACAUGAGAUACACCUCUAAAAAUAUGACACAUGACAUAGUACCUUCCAAAUUCCAACAAAUGACUUUCAACAAAAUUCUCCACACAAAUGAAAAGAAGAAAUCUGAAAGUCUUAUGUAGUAAUUGCAUGAUUAUCAACUAUUAUAUUAAGUCUCUUCUAUAACAUUCACUUUAAGAGUGACAUACUAGUAUGUAGGCUGACACUACAGUAAGCAUAAAAAAUGGUAAACUACUACAGAGGUGAAAAUACUUCACAUAUCUCAUUUAAGCUUCACAAUUACUCAAAAAGUAUUAUCUCCUUGUAACACAGGGGCUCAAGGACACUAAAUAAUUUGCCCAUUAUCACACACCUACUAAAUGGCAAGAGUAAAACAAUCCUUCAGCCUGAGUGCCCCAUCCCCUUUUCAUCAUGAAGCAAAAUGGGUUAUUUGCUUUCUCAGUGAGGGCUCAAAAACCACAGAGCAAUCUAACAGCUGUCUUUUAGUUCACUCCCUUUCCCCACCACAGAAUUUAACUGCAGAAUUCUUUCAGCUUACUGACAGCCAUAGCAUUCUAUGGCUUCUGCAACUGGCAUCUGUCCUACUGCCUGCUACUGAGUUUUUACGCUUUUGACUUCCUUUUGGCUGCCUGGGUUUGAUACAACCAAAGAACUCUGGGGCUUGCUUCCCAGGUGGUGCUAGUGGUAAAGAACCCAUCUGCCAAUGCAGGAGACUUAAGAGACAUGGGUUCAACCCCUGGGUCAGGAAGAUUCCCUGGAAAAGGAAAUGGAAACCCACUCCAGUAAUCUUGCCUGGAGAAUCUCAUGGGCAGAGGAGUCUGGUGAGCUACUGUCCAUGGAGUCGCAAAAAGUCAGACACGGCUGAAGUGACUGCGCACAAAAAAUUCACUUUUUAACUUCUGGUGAAUUAACCAGUCAAUCACAGCUGGUCAGAUGUGACAAGUUUUUUACUCUUCUUAACAACUUUAAUAAUUAGAGACUAUUUUUAAGCUUUCAGGAAAGUUUCUUUACUUCAACUUCUGGGUCAGCACCAUUCCUGAUAUCUGAUCUCCACAUGGUCAAGUUUCACUAAAGACUAAAACUAACAUAUUCAUUUCUCCCAAACAUCUACCCUCUGUGCUUGGUUAAAAGCAAUUAUUGUAUUAUUGAUCUAUUUCUGCCCUCACAAUCAACCAAGCUAUGAUAACAGCAAACGACUGUGUGGUUACUAUGUGCAAAUGUCUAGAUUUAGCACUUCACAGUUUGUCUCAUUUGAUACAACAAACCCAUGAGUUAGAUAUUAUAUCAUUUUCCAGGUGAGGAAAACAGAGAGGACAUAAUAGUGCAAGAAGCACAGAUUCCAACUAUGCUCUCAACCAUUACACAUAGUUCCCAUUACUAUUACCUUAUAACAUCUGCCUCAAAAUAACCUAUUUCUUAUUCAGCUAUUCAGGCAAUAAUGGCAGGGAAACGGAAUCCCCACACCCCUUCCACGUCCACCUACCCCUUACCUACUUUCCUACAGAUUCCUUUCAAACAACUGACAUUCCUCUUGCCAUACAUCACCUCCUAAUGGGUACCUACACAUUCUGAUCUAUGUACGUUACCUCUAAAUUUCAACACAUGAGGCUAACUCUUUAUUUCCUGUAACUCAAAGAAGGAAGUCAUUACUAGUUAAGAUUUUGAUUUUUUUUUUCCUUUAAAAGCACUAUUUGUGUUUUAUUGAUGUAAUAACUAAAAGCACCUUCCUAUAACUUUUACUGAUCAUGCAAAAUUCACAAUCAUGAAAGGUUCAUUUAGUUAUUCUGGAACAAAAAACAAUACAGUAUUUGUUUCAUAAAUAUUUUUCUCCUCAAUUCAACUCAACAAACACUAAGCAAUAACAUAAGAAACACACCAUGAGCAAGAAAACCAGAUCGCAGGAUACUUUUCAUAUAAAUCACUAAAAAGAUGAACAGUCAAGAUGGCCAUCAUUAAAAAGUUUACAAAUAACAAAUGCUGGAGAGGGUGUGGAGGAAAGCGAGCCCUUCUCCACUGUUGUUGGGAAUGUAAACUGAUGCAACCACUAUGGAGGAAAGGGCCAGAGGUAGUAUCAAUCAUCAAUGGCCAAUAAGUUAAUAAUCAAUUUUGGCUAUAUAACGAAGCCUGCAUAAAAACAAAACAACAGCCAACCAAAAAAUGGGGGCCUAGGGUUUUCAACAGUUUUCCCCUUUAGGGAAGCAGUAUGCUUCCCUGUGUACCAUGCCAGACCCUAAGCUUCACAAAGACAGAAACUCCCCCUUUUGGACCCUAUGUAUCUGUUCAUCUGAUUGUUGAUUCAUAUCACUUUUAAUGUAAAGUUGUAACAAAUCUGUAAUCCAGUGAAUAAAUGAAUUUCCCUGAAUUCUUUGAGCCAUUAUAGCAAGUUAAAUGAGCCCAAGGAGUGGGUUGGGGAAACUUCUGAUUUAUAGCUGGUUGGUCAGAAGUGCUGGUAACAACCUGGAAUUGUGACCAGCAUCUGAAGUAGAGUGCAGUUUUGCGGGACUGAGUCCUACACCUUUGGAAUCUGCUUCUACCUUCCAGUAGACAGUGUCAGAACUGAGACACCAGCAGGGUGCUUUAAGAA